AGUGAACGCUGGCGGUAGGCCUAACACAUGCAAGUCGAACGGCAGCACAGUAAGAGCUUGCUCUUACGGGUGGCGAGUGGCGGACGGGUGAGGAAUACAUCGGAAUCUACUUUUUCGUGGGGGAUAACGUAGGGAAACUUACGCUAAUACCGCAUACGACCUACGGGUGAAAGCAGGGGAUCUUCGGACCUUGCGCGAUUGAAUGAGCCGAUGUCGGAUUAGCUAGUUGGCGAGGUAAAGGCCCACCAAGGCGACGAUCCGUAGCUGGUCUGAGAGGAUGAUCAGCCACACUGGAACUGAGACACGGUCCAGACUCCUACGGGAGGCAGCAGUGGGGAAUAUUGGACAAUGGGCGCAAGCCUGAUCCAGCCAUACCGCGUGGGUGAAGAAGGCCUUCGGGUUGUAAAGCCCUUUUGUUGGGAAAGAAAAGCAGCAGGUUAAUACCCCGCUGUUCUGACGGUACCCAAAGAAUAAGCACCGGCUAACCUCGUG
rnacentral:rRNA from 1 species